rnacentral:rRNA from 1 species
CUACGGGGGGCUGCAGUGGGGAAUAUUGCACAAUGGGGGAAACCCUGAUGCAGCCAUGCCGCGUGUGUGAAGAAGGCCUUCGGGUUGUAAAGCACUUUCAGCAGUGAGGAAAGGUUGUAGGUUAAUACCCUAUAGCUGUGACGUUAACUGCAGAAGAAGCACCGGCUAACUCCGUGCCAUCAGCCGCGGUAAUACGGAGGGUGCGAGCGUUAAUCGGAAUUACUGGGCGUAAAGCGCGCGUAGGCGGCUAGAUCAGUCGGGUGUGAAAGCCCCGGGCUUAACCUGGGAACUGCAUCCGAUACUGUCUAGCUUGAGUACAGGAGAGGAGAGUGGAAUUCCACAUGUAGCGGUGAAAUGCGUAGAUAUGUGGAGGAACACCAAUGGCGAAGGCAGCUCUCUGGCCUGAUACUGACGCUGAGGUGCGAAAGCGUGGGGAGCAAACAGGAUUAGAUACCCGGGUAGUC